GGCAGAUUAGGCAAGAGCAGUUGGAUUCACGCGGGACACAAACUGCUGUGGUUGAAAAUAUGAGCCCCUACAAUCAUCGUUGCCGUUGCUGCCGUUAACUUCAGAGACCUCAUUAUAAUCCGGACUCACCUGCAGAACCUCCGCGGAGCGUUGAUCCGGUACCGGAGCGGAAAAAACACCGGAGAGAUGAGAGAGAACAGAGGGAGCUGGAAUAAUGUUUGACAAUCUGGGAAAGAGUCAGAGAGAGAGAGAGAGCAGAAAUAAAACACAGCAGUGGAGGCCCUGAGCCAGAGGUGGCAGACCCCUGGUCUCUGUGAAGAUCCUCCACAGGUUCUAGGUGUUUCUUCAUCAACAACAAGAGGAACACAUUGAACCUGAUGAAUUCAGCUCAGGACAGAAAUGACUGGAAACAUCAUGGAGUCUGUGGCAUUUUA